rnacentral:rRNA from 1 species
AUUGAACGCUGGCGGCAUGCCUUACACAUGCAAGUCGAACGGUAACAGGUCUUCGGAUGCUGACGAGUGGCGAACGGGUGAGUAAUACAUCGGAACGUGCCUAGUAGUGGGGGACAACUACUCGAAAGAGUGGCUAAUACCGCAUGAGAUCUACGGAUGAAAGCAGGGGAUCGCAAGACCUUGUGCUACUAGAGCGGCCGAUGGCAGAUUAGGUAGUUGGUGGGAUAAAAGCUUACCAAGCCGACGAUCUGUAGCUGGUCUGAGAGGACGAUCGGCCAGACUGGGACUGAGACACGGCCCAGACUCCUACGGGAGGCAGCAGUGGGGAAUUUUGGACAAUGGGCGAAAGCCUGAUCCAGCAAUGCCGCGUGCAGGAUGAAGGCCUUCGGGUUGUAAACUGCUUUUGUACGGAACGAAAAGCCCCGGGUUAAUACCCUGGGGUCAUGACGGUACCGUAAGAAUAAGCACCGGCUAACUACGUGCCAGCCGCCGCCGUAA